CGGAGGAGCAUGUGGUUUAAUUUCGAUGAUACGCGAGGAACCUUACCUGGGCUCGAACGUAAGAUGACUGUAGGUGAAAGCUUACAUCUCUUCGGAGCAUUUUACGAGGUGCUGCAUGGUUGUCGUCAGCUCGUGCCGUGAGGUGUCGGGUUAAGUCCCAUAACGAGCGCAACCCCUACCUUUAGUUGCCAUCAGGUUAAGCUGGGGACUCUAAAGGAACUGCCUACGCAAGUAGUGAGGAAGGCGGGGAUGACGUCAAAUCAGCACGGCCCUUACGUCCAGGGCUACACACGUGCUACAAUGGCCGAUACAGAGGGCAGCUACCUGGUGACAGGAUGCAAAUCUCCAAAGUCGGUCUCAGUUCGGAUCGGAGUCUGCAACCCGACUCCGUGAAGUUGGAUUCGCUAGUAAUCGCGCAUCAGCCAUGGCGCGGUGAAUACGUUCCCGGGCCUU
rnacentral:rRNA from 1 species